rnacentral:rRNA from 1 species
AGAGUUUGAUCCUGGCUCAGGAUGAACGCUAGCGGAAGGCUUAAUACAUGCAAGUCGAGCGGUAGGUGGCUUCGGCCAUUGAGAGCGGCGCACGGGUGAGUAACGCGUACAUGACCUGCCUGUCAGAAGGGGAUAGCCCUGGGAAACUGGGAUUAAUACCCUAUGGUAUUGAUAUUAUGAAUGAUAUCAAUUAAAGUUGAGGCGCUGACAGAUGGAUGUGCGUCUGAUUAGCUAGUUGGUAGGGUAACGGCCUACCAAGGCGACGAUCAGUAGGGGGCGUGAGAGCGUGGUCCCCCACACGGGUACUGAGACACGGACCCGACUCCUACGGGAGGCAGCAGUAAGGAAUAUUGGUCAAUGCCCGCAAGGGUGAACCAGCCAUUCCGCGUGGAGGAUGAAGGCCCUAUGGGUUGUAAACUUCUUUUAGAUGGGAAGAAAAUGCUAGAUGUAUCUGGUACUGACGGUACCAUCAGAAUAAGCACCGGCUAACUCCGUG